rnacentral:lncRNA from 1 species
CUGUGUACCCACCAACUUACCUCAUGACAGUUGCAACAUAAAUACCAGCUGCAGAAAAGAAUGCCUGUUUUUUGAACCAUCCCAACAUCUAACAACUUGGUAAAAGAGAAUGAGCCUGCAACAGAGAUAGAGGAUAGAAGAGUAGAAGAUCAGAGUGUCACAGAAGAUAAAGGAAAAAUGUGUUUCAAGAACAUCAAUGCUGCUAAAGAGGCAAGUGUUGAAGCAACUAGAAAUGAAAGUUCUGCAAACAUGCUCCAGAGAAAACCUAUGAAUAUGACCUACAGAUACCAUCUCCAGUUGUGAUGGGUGAGUAGUUAAGAUCUCCCUGGUUGUAGGGAGAAAAGAAACUUCAAGUGCUGAUUGUCACCUGGAAGCCCCUCCUGCUACUACUCCACGACCUUUGAGAUACUGGUUGGUAGGAGCUUUUUCAAGCAAGUUUUCCUGCCAUAGUCUCCAUUACUCUAGGGCAUUGCAGAUGAGACAAAGUUUUGUGGGGAACACAUGACACAGGGAUUAUACAGAAAGAGAGCCCCCUGCAGUGAUGUAAUCCCCUCCUCUGGAAACUAAAAUGGCCCUGUAAACUACGGGGAGGCAUUAAGGGUAUGGUUUUUGACAUCAGGAGGCACUAAGGGUCAUGAAUACAUCCUGUAUCAAUGACAAAUUUAAGGGGAUUGUGUAAAUUCAAUUGUUAAUUAAACUAUUCAAACUAUUUGGGACUAGGAAAAACCAAGGCAACUGAAUCAACAGGUAUUUUCUAAACUCACUUUAAUUUAAAAAAAAAAAAUGAUAGUGACACCCAACAGUCUCUUCCAGCUAAGUGACUAUUCAGAAAUAGUCAGGAAAGAAAAGAUAUACUAUGUUAUGGGUCAAAUUAUGUCACCCAAGAAAAAAUAUGUUGAAGUCUUAACCCCCAGUACCUAAAGACAUAACCUUAUUUGGAAGUGGCAUCUUUGCAGCAGUCAUCAAAAUAAGGUCAUUAGGGUGGUCCUAAUCCAAUAGGACUGGUGUGCUUACAAAAAGGGGAAAUUUGAACAAAGACACAGACACACACACACAGGAAAAACAAUGUGGAGACACAGGGAGAAGACAGCCAUGUGCCUAGAGGAGGCACAAGCUGAGGAAUACCAAGGAUUGCCAGGAAAUCCUUGAGGCUAGAAGGGGGAAGAAUGAAUUCUUCCGUGGUGCUGUCAGAGGGAGCACGGCCCUGCCAACACUUUGAUCUCAGACUUCUGCCCCCAGAAUGUGAGAAAAUAAAUUUAUGUUAUUUUAAGCCACCUAGUGUUUGGUACUCUUCUAUGGCAGGGACACUAAUACAUU